rnacentral:rRNA from 1 species
UGGAUAUCUGCCUUUUGGUUCGGAAUAACCCCGGGAAAACUGGGGCUAAUACCGGAUAUGACCUCCUGUCUCAUGGCGGGUGGUGGAAAGUUUUUUCGGUGGGGGACGGACUCGCGGCCUAUCAGCUUGUUGGUGAGGUAAUGGCUUACCAAGGCGACGACGGGUAGCCGGCCUGAGAGGGCGACCGGCCACACUGGGACUGAGACACGGCCCAGACUCCUGCGGGAGCAG